AUUGAACGCUGGCGGCAUGCUUUACAUAUGCAAGUCGAACGGUAACAGGCCUUCGGGUGCUGACGAGUGGCGAACGGGUGAGUAAUGCAUCGGAACGUGCCCAGAGGUGGGGGAUAACGCAGCGAAAGCUGUGCUAAUACCGCAUGUGAUCUGAGGAUGAAAGCGGGGGACCAAGCAGCAAUGUUUGGCCUCGCGCCUCUGGAGCGGCCGAUGUCAGAUUAGGUAGUUGGUGGGGUAAAGGCCUACCAAGCCGACGAUCUGUAGCUGGUCUGAGAGGACGGCCAGCCACACUGGGACUGAGACACGGCCCAGACUCCUACGGGAGGCAGCAGUGGGGAAUUUUGGACAAUGGGCGCAAGCCUGAUCCAGCAAUGCCGCGUGCGGGAAGAAGGCCUUCGGGUUGUAAACCGCUUUUGUACGGAACGAAAAGGCUCUGGCUAAUACCUGGGGCUGAUGACGGUACCGUAAGAAUAAGCACCGGCUAACUACGUG
rnacentral:rRNA from 1 species